rnacentral:rRNA from 1 species
UACGGAGGGUGCAAGCGUUAUCCGGAUUUACUGGGUUUAAAGGGUGCGUAGGUGGGUCUGUAAGUCAGUGGUGAAAUCUCCGAGCUUAACUCGGAAACUGCCAUUGAUACUAUAGGUCUUGAAUACUGUGGAGGUCAGCGGAAUAUGUCAUGUAGCGGUGAAAUGCUUAGAUAUGACAUAGAACACCAAUUGCGAAGGCAGCUGGCUACACAAAUAUUGACACUGAGGCACGAAAGCGUGGGGAUCAAACAGG